rnacentral:lncRNA from 1 species
GAGGGAGGCCUGGCUAAGGCUUAUUCACUUGUGGUCCUUCUUCCUGAGAUAGGGAAUGGCCCUGAGAGGUUGUAGAAUGGAGGCCUCCCUAAGUCUCCCCAGCAAUGCACUCUAGCCUUGUUCUGCACAGCAGUCAGGGCAGAACUGCACACGUGUGGUAUGAAAUGAUGAGAUACUCAUAGCAACCCUGGACAUAAAGCCAAACGCCUGCAAAACAGGGCGUCCAGAGCAGUUAGUUACCUGCCCCACCCUGCGUGCUCUGUAGCUGGGAGACCCCAGAGCCGCCCAACCAGAUAAAGGCUUGCUGGCCUGCUGGGGAAGCCUGGGAAAUCACAGGGGAAGAAGGGCACCGAGGCAGCCGACUGCGAGGUGGGGAAGCAAUCUGGCUCAAAUAAACAAACCAGGAAAUGAGUGUCACCU